rnacentral:tRNA from 1 species
AGCAAGUUUCCCAACGAAGGGCCAGACGGACUUUUAAUCCGUUGGUCGCAGGUUCGAAUCCCGCACGGCCUACCA